GGAGAGAGGCGAAAGGGUGAGUAACGCGUGGGUAACCUACCCUGAAGUUGGGGACAACUCUUCGAAAGGGGAGCUAAUACCGAAUGUGGUCCCCCCCCGCAUGUGGGGGAGACUAAAGGUGGAAUCCUACGGGAUCUGCCGCUUCUGGAGGGGCCCGCGUGACAUCAGCUUGUUGGUGAGGUAAUGGCUCACCAAGGCUUACGUCUAGCUGGUCUGAGAGGAUGGUCAGCCACACUGGGACUGAGACACUGCCCAGACUCCUACGGGAGGCUGCAGUCGAGAAUCAUUCACAAUGCGCGAAAGCGUGAUGAUGCGACGCUGCGUGGAGGAUGAAGGCCCUAGGGUUGUAAACUCCUGUCAUGAGGGAAAAACCGCACGGAUGUAAAUAGCGUCUGUGUUUGAUGGUACCUCAAGAGGAAGCCACGGCUAACUCUGUGCCAGCAGCCGCGGUGAUACAGAGGUGGCGAGCGUUGUUCGGAUUUACUGGGCGUAAAGCGUACGUAGGUGGUUUCGUGUGUCGGGUGUGAAAGCCCACGGCCCAACCGUUGAAUUGCACUCGAAACUGCGGGACUUGAGUGCAGGAGGGGAGAGCGGAAUUCAGGGUGUAGCGGUGAAAUGCGUUGAUAUCCUGAAGAACACCGGUGGCGAAGGCGGCUCUCUGGAAUGUUACUGACACUGAGGUACGAAAGCGUGGGGAGCGAACAGGAUUAGGUACCCUGGUAGUCCACGCCGUAAACGUUGUGCACUUGGUGUGGGCGGUAUUGACCCCGUCCGUGCCGGAGCUAACGCGUUAAGUGCACCGCCUGGGGAGUACGGCCGCAAGGCUAAAACUCAAAGAAAUUGACGGGGGCCCGCACAAGCGGAGGAGCAUGUGGCUCAAUUCGAUGCAACGCGAAGAACCUUACCUGGACUUGACAUGUAACUGCAUGCCCCGGGAAACCGGGGAGGCCUUCGAGGGUGUUACACAGGUGCUGCAUGGCUGUCGUCAGUUCGUGCCGUGAGGUGUUGGUUUAAGUCCCGCAACGAACGCAACCCUUGUGUUUAGUUGCCACCGGUGGUGAUGAGCCACCGAGCACUCUAAACAGACUGCCUGUACAAGCAGGAGGAAGGUGGGGAUGACGUCAAGUCAGUAUGGCCCUUAUGUCCAGGGCUGCACACGUGCUACAAUGGCCGGUACAAUGGGAAGCAAUACCGCGAGGUGGAGCAAAUCCUCAACACCGGUCCCAGUUCGGAUUGGAGUCUGCAACUCGACUCCAUGAAGUUGGAUUCGCCAGUAAUGCCGUAUCAGCUACGACGGCGUGAAUACGUUCCCGGGCCUUGUACACACCGCCCGUCACAUCAUGAAAGCCGUCUGCACCCGAAGUCGCCGAGCUAACCCGCAAGGGAGGCAGGUGCCGAAGGUGUGGGUGGUGAUU
rnacentral:rRNA from 1 species